rnacentral:rRNA from 1 species
UACGUAGGGUGCGAGCGUUAUCCGGAAUCAUUGGGCGUAAAGAGCUCGUAGGCGGUUCAGCAAGUCGGCUGUGAAAGUCUGAGGCUCAACCUCAGAAUUGCAGUCGAUACUGCUGUGACUCGAGUCCGGUAGAGGAGAAUGGAAUUCCCGGUGUAGCGGUGAAAUGCGCAGAGAUCGGGAGGAACACCAGUAGCGAAGGCGGUUCUCUGGGCCGGCACUGACGCUGAGGAGCGAAAGAGUGGGGAGCAAACAGG